CAGACAUUUAAUUUCAGCUCCACAAAGACUAGAUUUGGCACAUGAAGCCUGAUUUUGUUUACAGCAUUUUUGUGCUGUCACAGUGCGAGAAACAUCAGAGAAUAUUGCCGCUGACUACAGGUGGUGAAGAAAAAAUCAGUACACUUAAUGAUGAGAACGUUUUUUCAAGGUUUCUUCACUUGGCUGCUGAAGAGCUUGUUUGUAUCUCUAUGGAUUCUAUUCACAUUAUGCAGUUGGACCAGCAGCAAUAACUGUAGCAACAAUAUGUCUAUCAAGAACUGAGGAAUCAGCAGAAAAAGAAACAGCAAAAGCCAGUUAUUCAUCAUAAUCAUUGUCAUUAGCAGAAACAAAAGAUCCAGAAUGAAUUCCUACAGUGCUCAUUUCUUCUAAAUAGCCAGUAUUUUGGAUGAGCAGUUUGUUGGUUUUGUAAGGCUUCCUGAUUUACUUAGAGGAAGAAAAGCGAAUCUAUUUUAGG
rnacentral:lncRNA from 1 species